UCAUUCAAAAUGGAUUGUGCUAGAUUAUUUGAUUAAUAUAAUGGAAGCUCCGUUGUAACAAUAAUUGGGAAUUUUGAUUUGGAAUUAUUGUUUAAAACUGAAUAUUCCUUUCUCAAUUAAUCCUUUCCCUUGAACACACAAAAACACAAACACUUUUAUUUAAAUUAAUUUAUUCGUCGUCAACAUUUUAUUCUGCGUGUGAGAAGUGUCGAGUGCGCGGUGCCGAGAAGAAGAGAGAAAGAAGUGCAUUUGCACUCGCCGCCAAUCAGUGCCCCCACCACCUGCACUGAUAAAGAGCACACAGGUUACUCCCGGGUAAAGGUCUUUGACCUCGUGCAGUUUUGGUUUAGUCGCCCACGAUCAGUGGUUGUGAAAACACCACCCGGCCUCUGCUGUGCCAGCAGCAGGUUGGCCGCUUCCUCUUGCAAAUUGGAGGAUACGAACGUUCUGCGAGAAGAGUCAACGUGCCCUGUGGGGCCGUUGAUUAUCGCAACUGUCCAGCCCGGCAGAGCUGCUGUCCGCCAGCGUCGUUUGCGGAUGGGGCGCUGUCGACAAUUGCAGCGCUUCGUGCUCACGUGUGACCACCACCACCCCGGUCACCAACCACCCUCAGCCGGCGGUCGUCCGACCGAACACCUGGUCGACCUUCGAAGCACCGACACCAUCAGGGGUCGCUCCCCUCGCCGAGACCAUCUCGACACACAGCUCACGAUGAGUACCUCUCAUUUGUGCCUUUAAGUGAACUCGAUCCGAACGCUCGUCGAGUGAAAUUUUGAUUAUUUAUUAUAUUUUUCCAAAUUGAUAUUUUGUUACACAUUACACUUUCUACACAAAUUAGCCCCACCUACUAACCACAGACAGUUAAAUCACAAUUAAUUUGCAAAUACAAAUUUCUUAUUAUUUUUUGCAUUGACUCGCUUUGCAAUUAAAAUCCGUUUAAAAUUAAAAUUAAAAAUUAAUUCUUUUCUUUUGCAAUUUUAGUUCUUUAAUUUGAAAUGAACCUUUUUGUGCAUCUUUUCUGAAUUUGAGAUUAAGUUUCUGAGCAGUUAAUUUAAACUUCUGGAUAAGCAGAACCCACUUAUUGGAUCUGAAUCAAAAAGUAACCCUGAGUGUUACAUGGCGCCCAACUUAAUUUAAACCCCAGCAGUUUAAAGCAAAUUAAAGUAAAUUUAGUGUGAGUAAAGUUUCUAGAUCUUUCUUUUCACAAGCGUUACGUAAGCGAAAAAUCUCUGGAAUUAUUCUCGAAUGAUAGUUGUGCGAUUCGUUAAAUUUUAGGAAUUUGGAAGCAUAAUUUUUGAGCCGAGAAAUUUGCGGAAUUUUUGUAGUGUAUUGUACAGAUAAAAGUAAGCGAAGGUUGUCGGCCGUCGUGCGCGUUUUGAUGGUUUUGCGUGAAAAACUUUUGCGGCGUAAUCUUUGAUAGAGUGCGAGCAAAUUAAUUUUUUGAGAUACCGAUUUUGAGAUUUUUGAGAAAAUAAAUUUGAUUCGAUAAUUGGAUUUGAGCAAUGUCGUCUCCGAAUUUUUGUCUUGUCCCGAUGAAGCUCGACUCAGCUUCGGGUAAAUUUGAACCACUGGCAGAAUUUUGCCCAGGCCACGGCGCCGAGCAAACCCGUAUUCUGGCCAAAGUCAUUCCGACCGCGGAAUGGAACUUAAAGUUUUCUGGUGAAGAUGAUUCUCAUUUGACCGUAGAUUUGUUUUUGCGGGAGGUGAAUCUGAAAUUUGGCGAAAGCAAAUUGAGUGAUGAACAGUUUUGGAGAACCGCAUUUAAUUUGUUUUCUGGCCCCGUUCGGAAUUGGUUUUUGGCCAAUUUUGAGAGGUGGUCAUGUUGGACCGAUUUUGUGCCUGAUUUUGUGCGUAAUUUUCGCCCUCCAAAUUACAUUGAAAGAUUGUGGGAGCAAAUUCGUCUCCGCACGCAGGGUGAACACGAGCGAGUUAAUAUGUAUGUUGCAGAAAUGCGGAUACUUUUUUCCUUGCUUGACGUUGAACCGCCCGAGCGAGAUAAAUUUGUUUUCAUUCAAAACCGACUGCAUCCUUUUUGGCUAGAAAAAUUGCCUUGGUCUUUCAUUAAUUCUUUGGACGAAUUAAUUUCAGAAAGUUUGCGAAUUGAGAGUGUCCAGGACCAGAUAGAGCGCUACAAAGAGCCCUCUGCCCCAACUAAUCCUGUUUUGCCCGAAUUUAUUUACAGGGGACGUGAAGAUGAAUUAAUUUUGUCCGAGAAUGCGAGUGAAUUGGGAAGUGUUUCGCGUGAGCCUAGUUUGCUGUACGGCGAAUCGCCGAGGCAAGUUUGUGUUCCGCAAAAUGCAGCCGUGACUCAUGAGCAGAGUAAGACAAAUAUUGAUGGUCUUCAAAAAUGUUCGCCAUGCAGUGCAGAAUGUGGAAGUGCGGAGCAUGAAAGAGAGAGCAUUGGCGCGGAGACUUUGCCUAUUACAUGUUGGAAUUGUCGGCGUGCAGGUCACCGCUGGCGCACCUGUAAGUCGCGCAAUUGUAAUUUGUUUUGCAAAGGCUGCGGCGCACAAGGCGUUUCACAUGCGUUCUGCGACCGAGAGGCAUGCAGAAGGAAACGGCGAGACGAAUCUUGUCGUCUUGAAAGAGUCAAAUGCUUUGCGAGGAGAAAAUGUGCGAGAAUGAAUGAUGAGUGGCAAAGACACAUUAAUAAAAUCAAGGUGCAGAAAGUUCGCGAGAAAAUUAGUGCUUUGUUUUUGAAAUAUAAAACAGAGUUUACUGAGUUUGAUUCUCAAAGCGAAGUUGAAGGCGAAUUAAAGGAAAGGGUUAAGGAUGAUGAUCGUGUAUUUUUGAAAGUGACCAUUUUUGACGUUAAACUUGUGGCUUUAUUAGAUUCAGGCGCGUCAACAUGUAUUUUGGGCGGCCCUGGUAGAAAAUUAAUUGACAAGUUGAGACUCAAAAUUCAUAGUACCAAAGUUAAAAACGUUCAAUUAGCUGAUAGAUCGUGUCAGCCAGUUUUAGGUCAGAUUGAUUUGCCCAUUUGUUUGGAAGGACAGUCAUUUGUAAUCAAUGCAUUGGUUGUUCCUGCAGUUGAAUCUGAUUUAAUUCUUGGGCUUGAUUUUUGGUUAAAGACCGGUUUUGUUCCCGAUUUGUCGCGCGGAGUGUGGUAUUUUUCUGGUGGCGCGGAAAAAGAAUUUUCUUUGCCCAGUUUGAGUUCUGUAGCAGUUGACGGCGAUAAGUUGGACGAUGCCCAACGCGAAAUUUUGAAUAAUUUUAUUUCUGAAAUUAAGUCAAAAUUUCCGGCUAGUCUUGGACGCACAAAUGUUAUGGAGCAUAAAAUUGACACGGGAAAUUCACCGCCAGUAAAAACAAAGCAAUUUUACAUUCCACCCGCCGAGUUAGAAUUAAUGAAAAAAGAAGUUGAUAAAAUGUUAGAGUUGGACGUGAUUGAGCCCGCCAUAAGCCCUUGGAAUAAUCCAGUUUUUCUUGUGCGAAAUGAGCAGCGCGGUAAAGAGCCUAGAUUUGUGGUCGAUAUGCGAGAAAUUAAUAAAGUCACAGAGUCUGACGCGUAUGCAGUGCCCAUAUUAAUGAAUAUUUUGGAUGGUUUAGGAGAUGUAAAAUUUUUGAGCACAAUUGAUCUCAAAAAAUCGUAUUGGCAAAUUCCAUUGGAUUCCGAAAGUAAACCAAAAACAGCAUUUUUCAUUCCUGAAAAAGGACAGUUUCAAUUUAAAGUCAUCCCAUUCGGAGCGAAAAAUUCUGGUCCGGGUUUCAUGCGUGUAAUUGAUAUUGUUGUCGCGAACUCGUGGAUUAGAAAAUAUAUUCGAAUUUACAUUGAUGACGUUUUUGUUGCAACUCCCACAUUAAAAUUGCAUUAUAAGGUGCUGAAAGAAUUAUUUCGUUUGCUAUUGGAAGCCAAUUUAACGCCAAACUGGGAUAAAUGCCGUUUUUUGAGAAAAUCAAUUAAAAUUUUGGGCUAUGUUUUGGAUGAGUUUGGCCUGCAUACGGACCCUGAUAAAGUAGCUUCAAUUUUGAAUUUGGCUAGGCCCACCAACAAGAAGGAGGUGAAGCGAUUUUAUGGCGCUUUGUCUUAUUAUAGGCGAUUGAUAAAGGAUUUCAGCACAACCGCGGAGCCGUUGCUGCGUAUGCUGAAAAAGAAUGUGUCUUUUGCGUGGAAUGAGGAACAAGAGUGUGCGUUUGUCGCGUUGAAGCAAGCAGCCGUCUCUGAGAAUGUGGUGCGUUUGCCCGACUUCUCAAAGCCUUUUUACUUGCACACUGAUGCUUCUGAUGUUGGAAUUUCAGGUGUUUUGACGCAGAUAUUUGAUGAUGGAGAGCAUCCUAUUUUUUACGUGAGCAGAUUACUUUCUGAGACUGAGCAAAAAUAUAUUACAAUUCAGAAGGAAGCAUUGGCGAUAAUUUGGUCUAUUGAGCGAUUGUCAGGAUACCUUUCAUACUCUAAAUUCUUUGUUGUGACAGACAAUAAGCCUCUUAAAUAUUUGCAAGAUCAGAAAAAUCCAAAAGGUCGACUUGCAAAUUGGCGUAUUAAAUUGCAGCAAUAUGAUUUUGAAGUUUUUCAUCGACCUGGUAAAUUAAAUGUUGUUCCUGAUAUUUUGUCAAGAAGUUUUGAUUCCAAUGCAGUUAAAGUUUUUUCAAUUAAAUUUAGCAAUCCAAUUACAGAUAAGUGGUAUCUUGAUUUGUUGAGUAAAGUAAAAUCAAAUCCUGAAAAAUAUCCAUUGUUUAAAGUAAUUGAAAAUAAAUUGUACAAAAUGUGCAAAAAUUGGAACCCUUUUGAUGAGGAAAAAUUUAAAUUAGUAAUUCCUAAAUGCUCUAGACAAAAAGUUUUUGAACAGUGCCAUUGCCUUCCUGAAGCAGGACAUUUUGGUUUUUUGAAAACGUUUAAUCGAAUUUCUGAACAAUUUUAUUGGCCAAAAAUGCGCGCAGAUAUUUCCAAGUUUUUGAGUAAAUGUCGCACAUGUCUCGCACAAAAACCGAUUCAAGCAGCCCCCGCUGGAUUGAUGCAUUCACACCCCGUUGAACGCCCUUGGCAGGUUUUGUGUAGUGAUAUUGUUGGAGAAUUCCCGCGUAGUGUUAAAGGCAAUAAAUAUGUGCUUAGCGUAGUUGAUUUGUUCACCAAAUUUGUUCUUUUGUUUCCGCUGAAAGAUUCAAGUGCUAAGUCAGUUUGUAAUGCGUUAGAGUCCACAAUUUUGAGUUACGGAGCUCCACAAUUAAUGAUUCAAGAUAACGCGAAAAUUUAUACGAGCGGUCAGUUUAAAGAUUUAGCUAGAAAAUAUGACGUGAAAUUGCAAUAUUCGCCGCGUUACCAUGCGCAAGCAAACCCGACGGAGAGAGUGAAUCGUGUUUUUGAGACCGUAAUGCGUUGUUUUGUCAAUGAGAAUCAAAAGGAGUGGGAUAAAUUUUUGCCCCAAAUUGCUUUUGCGAUGAAUAGUAGUUUGCAUGAGACGACAAGAUUUACACCAUUUUUCCUUUUCUUUGGUAGGCAGCCCACGCUUACUGGUUCAAAUGCGGUUCGCGACAGUGUUGAUUUUGACACUCCUAAUCAAAUUGAUAAUUAUGCGGCUCGAUUUCCGAAGUUGAAACGAAUACACGAAUUAGUUAAACAGAAAAUUGUUGAUGCUAAUGAGCGGAAUAGGCAUUAUUAUAAUUUGAGGAGACGUCCGGGUGAUUUUUUGUUAGGUGAUAAAGUGAUGAAAAGGAAUUUCGCAAUUUCAAACAAAGGUUCAGGAAUUUCAGCUAAGUUAUUACCCUAUUUUGUUGGACCCUAUAUUUUGAGAGAAAAGAUUGCAGAAAAUGUUUUCCGAUUAGUAGACGAAAAGGACGAAAGAAAAGAUAUCGGUGUUUUUCAUGUUCAGGACCUUAAAAAAGUCCCAGCACAGAAAUAAUUUUCUGCGAAAAUUAUUUUUGGUGGCAGGGGAGAUGUAACAAUAAUUGGGAAUUUUGAUUUGGAAUUAUUGUUUAAAACUGAAUAUUCCUUUCUCAAUUAAUCCUUUCCCUUGAACACACAAAAACACAAACACUUUUAUUUAAAUUAAUUUAUUCGUCGUCAACAUUUUAUUCUGCGUGUGAGAAGUGUCGAGUGCGCGGUGCCGAGAAGAAGAGAGAAAGAAGUGCAUUUGCACUCGCCGCCAAUCAGUGCCCCCACCACCUGCACUGAUAAAGAGCACACAGGUUACUCCCGGGUAAAGGUCUUUGACCUCGUGCAGUUUUGGUUUAGUCGCCCACGAUCAGUGGUUGUGAAAACACCACCCGGCCUCUGCUGUGCCAGCAGCAGGUUGGCCGCUUCCUCUUGCAAAUUGGAGGAUACGAACGUUCUGCGAGAAGAGUCAACGUAAGUUGCUUUUCAGAAUUUUUUCCCUUAAUUGGGCGGCAUCCCGAAUGGACCUUCUGGACCAUUCCAUCCCUUAUUUCAUUUUGAAAAUUGGGCGCGUCGACUAAACCAAAUUCUUGUACAACCCAGGUGCCCUGUGGGGCCGUUGAUUAUCGCAACUGUCCAGCCCGGCAGAGCUGCUGUCCGCCAGCGUCGUUUGCGGAUGGGGCGCUGUCGACAAUUGCAGCGCUUCGUGCUCACGUGUGACCACCACCACCCCGGUCACCAACCACCCUCAGCCGGCGGUCGUCCGACCGAACACCUGGUCGACCUUCGAAGCACCGACACCAUCAGGGGUCGCUCCCCUCGCCGAGACCAUCUCGACACACAGCUCACGAUGAAGCUGUACGAAGGUCUAAAAAGGGCUCAGCGUGGUCGUCUUGAGGAUCAAAGAGGCACUGAUAUUAACUUUGAACUUCCUGACUUCUUGAAGGAUAAAGAAAACACUCCUAGGUGGCUACAAAAAGGCCGGCUCUCAGAGG